GGUUAUAUCCCGUUGAAACAACGGUUGCCGUAUGAUCACCGAAGUUAAGCAACGUCGAUCCUGGUCAGUAUCUAGAUGGGUGACCGCUUGGGAAUACCAGUUGUUGGAA